GCCGGCGGUGUGCGGGGCGGGCUCUUAGUGGUGCGGCCGGCGGGCGGCGAUGGCGGCCGUACGGGGCCUUCGAGUGUCGGUGAAGGCGGAGGCCCCGGCGGGGUCGGCCCUGGGGCCCCUGUCGCCUGAAGCGGAGUCCGGUUUGGACCGUAGCGAGCCGGAGCCCAUGGAGGUGGAGGAGGGCGAGCUGGAGAUCGUGCCGGUGCGGCGCUCACUGAAAGAACUGAUCCCGGACACAAGCAGAAGAUACGAAAACAAGGCUGGCAGCUUCAUCACUGGAAUCGAUGUCACCUCCAAGGAAGCAAUUGAAAAGAAAGAACAGAGAGCCAAGCGCUUCCAUUUUCGAUCAGAAGUAAAUAUUGCCCAAAGAAAUGUCGCCUUGGACCGAGACAUGAUGAAGAAAGCAAUCCCCAAAGUGAGACUGGAGACAAUCUACAUUUGUGGAGUAGAUGAGAUGAGUACCCAGGACAUCUUUUCCUACUUUAAAGAAUAUCCCCCUGCUCACAUCGAGUGGUUGGAUGAUACCUCCUGUAAUGUGGUUUGGUUGGAUGAAAUAACAGCCACACGAGCCCUUAUCAACAUGAGCUCCCUGCCAGCCCUGGAUAAGAUAAGAAGCAGGGAUGCCAGUGAGGACAAGUCAUCUGAGAAAAGUAAAAAAGACAAACAGGAAGACAGUUCAGAUGAUGAUGAGGCUGAAGAAGGAGAAGUUGAAGAUGAGAACUCAAGUGAUGUAGAGCUGGACACGUUGUCUCAGGUAGAAGAAGAGUCUUUGCUAAGAAACGAUCUUCGUCCAGCUAACAAACUUGCUAAAGGAAAUAGGUUAUUCAUGAGAUUUGCUACAAAAGAUGACAAAAAGGAACUUGGAGCAGCGAGGAGAAGUCAGUAUUACAUGAAAUAUGGGAAUCCAAAUUAUGGAGGCAUGAAAGGAAUUCUUAGUAAUUCUUGGAAGCGAAGAUACCAUUCCCGUCGCAUUCAGCGGGAUGUGAUCAAGAAGAGAGCCCUGAUAGGGGACGACGUUGGCUUGACGUCCUAUAAACACCGACAUUCCGGACUAGUGAAUGUUCCAGAGGAACCCAUUGAAGAGGAGGAAGAGGAGGAGGAGGAGGAGGACCAGGACAUGGACGCGGAUGACAGGGUGGUGGUGGAGUACCACGAGGAGGUCCCAGCCCUCAAGCAGACUCGGGAGCGGAGCACGUCGAGGCGAUCCAGUGCCAGCAGCUCAGACUCCGAUGAAAUGGACUAUGAUCUGGAACUGAAAAUGAUUUCCACUCCUUCACCAAAGAAAAGCAUGAAAAUGACGAUGUAUGCUGAUGAAGUGGAAUCCCAGUUGAAAAAUAUCAGGAACUCCAUGAGGUCAGAUACUCUAUCCACAAGCAAUAUAAAAAACCGAAUUGGUAACAAAUUACCAUCUGAGAAAUUUGCAGAUGUCCGACAUUUGUUAGAUGAAAAACGUCAACACCCACGUCCACGGCCACCGGGCAGCAGCGCUAAAACAGAUAUACGCCAGCGAUUAGGAAAAAGACCGUAUUCUCCGGAAAAGGCUUUUAGUAGUAACCCAGUCGUUUGGAGAGAGCCCUUUUCUGAUGUACAUAGUAGGCUAGGUGUUCCCAGGCAAGAUGUUAAAGGCCUCUACUCUGACACUCGGGAGAAGAAAUCAGGUGGUUUAUGGACUCGCUUAGGAUCUGCACCCAAGACCAAAGAAAAGAACCCGAAGAAAGCGGAUCACAGGGCUCCCGGCACUGAGGAAGAUGACUCGGAGCUGCAAAGGGCAUGGGGGGCUCUGAUUAAGGAGAAAGAACAGUCUCGCCAAAAGAAGAGCCGCUGUUACCAGCACCCUUUUCCCAAGAAAAGUCAAUUCCCAGGUGCUUAUUGGACAGCCUUCGAGGGGGAAGAUGAGGGAAGCUGCCAGCUCACCCUUCCAGGACCCUAGUGUGGGGGCCGAAUCUCAUGGACCUGACCUCAGAGGUGCAGCCGUGCCGCCCAGCUUCCUAGGACUUAGACGGCAAGUGGGCAGUUAGAAACAUCACCUGCAUCUGGGAACAGCCCCCAUCCACCGGAUCCAAUCCAGGAUCACACACUACAUUUAAUACCCCCUCUUUAGUCUCCUUUAAUCUGGAACAAUUCCUGAACCUUUUUUGCCCUUUAUGAUAUUGACAUUUUUUUUUGAAGAGUUCAGUCCACUUAUGUUGUAGGAUGUCCCAAGUUGGUCCCUUAAUAUUUGUUUAAAGGAAGGUGAGUUAGGAAGCCGUUUUCACGUCCUUUUGGGUACGUACGUAAGUUGCUGAAUGCCCCGCCUCGCACUAGGUGCUGUGAGCACAGCCUGGCUCUGCCUUGGGACUUAAGUCUGGGUUUGUGGGAACAGCAGUUACUGUCAGAAGGGCUUGAAGGGCCCCGGGCUGCUCAUGAUUAGGGGUCUGCCAUACUGGCACCGACAAGCUUGGAAAAUACAUCUUAGAUGGAUGCAGGAGGAGUCGGCAUUCUGGAAGUCUCCAAAGAUGUAGAAAAUGGCCCUGCACCUGUUCCAGCAUCCACUUAUCUACUUCGCCUGGCCUCCUGAGGUGUCCUGAAGUUUGCACACUCCAAACCGAAGUCGCUUCUCAGAAAUCUCCAGUGAGCUGCAGUCCUGGGUUCUAGACUGUCCCUGCUGCGGCUCCCCUCUGGGCCAGUGGUGGGAGAGGAGCCCCUCCUGGCUCUGCCAAGUGUCCCUGGCAUUGGGAACAAGUUGGGGGGGGGGUACAGUCCCUGAGCCUGGAGUGUGGGAAGACAGCCAGGACCCUGGCCUAUAACAAAGUCAAGCCAACUUGGGAUGGCUUGUGAUCUGACAGACAGCUCGUCAGACCCGGAGCCUCGCUUUCUCAGCUGUUUAACGUCUCUGUUGGACAGUAUAUAGUACGGAAAACAGCGAAUUGUAAUUUCUAUUCAAACAACUGUGUAACGUCAGGAAACUAUCAUGCUAGUUGGAGAUACUUUGUCAGACCAAAGCAAACAAUGCAAGAAUGUUUUAAGUGACAUCAAUCUUCUCAAAACUUUGGCCAAGCCAGCUUUCACUGUGUGAAACAAAAUAAAAUUGAUUUUCAUCUGGUCAUUAAAUCAA